rnacentral:lncRNA from 1 species
UUCAUUAACAUGUUCCAGAUGCUAUGACAUGUAUUUUGUUUUAAUCUCAUUACAGUAUUCAUGUCUUUUUGUUUUUUUCAUAGAUGUACCCAUCUCCCAGAUGACUUUACAACCUGUUCUUUCUGAACCAGACUUUUACCAAGGACCCCUCGACUGACCCAAAACAUUCCUAAAAAAGGGAAACCCAAACUGCUUGCCCAACAUCACAGCCCAAAGCAGCCACAGUGGUCAUUGCCCAUUUCCAAUGCUCAUACUCCAAAGCACUUCCCCCUCCUCCUACCUGUUGUUGAAGUUACCUGACUCCAGGGAAUUGUUCCUCCCAGCAAGGGGUUAUUAAUAAAAACCACCUGGAUAGCUCAUUUUCUGUCCUUGGUCACUCCACCUUUUGGUCACAUAGGCAAGAUAAGAGGAGGAGGGGGCAUGAGAAGAAAGGAGAUCUGAAAUGUAUAAAAGGGCGAAGACAACCCCACUCUCUCAGGCACAAGUUUUGGAUCCCCUCCUCUAUGGAAGAAUAUCUCACCCCCGCUUCUAUCCUUUA